rnacentral:rRNA from 1 species
CCCUUAGAUGUUCUGGGCCGCACGCGCGCUACACUGACGAUGGCAACGAGUUUUUCCUUCGCCGAAAGGUGUGGGUAAUCUUUUGAAACAUCGUCGUGCUGGGGAUAGAUCAUUGCAAUUUUUGAUCUUGAACGAGGAAUUCCUAGUAAGCGCGAGUCAUCAGCUCGCGUUGAUUACGUCCCUGCCCUUUGUACCCACCGCCCGUCGCUACUACCGAGUGAAUGGUUUAGUGAGGACUCCUGAUUGGCGCCGCCGCCCCGGCAACGGAGCAGCGGACUGCCGAAAAGUUGUUCAAACUUGAUCAUUUAGAGGAAGUAAAAGUCGUAACA